rnacentral:RNase_P_RNA from 1 species
GGAGCCGGGCGGUUCGUCGCGCGCAGUUCUUCGUGGCUGCGUGAGGAAAGUCCGGGCAACACAGAGCACCAUAGUUUUUAACGGAAACCUGUCGGAAUAAAUAACGGCAGAUAAGUGUGACAGAAAAUAACCGCCUUUCACCAAAACAAGGUGAAAGGUAAGGGUGAAAAGGCGAGGUAAAAGCUCACCGGGCCGAAUGGCGACAUCCGGCGCCGCACACAUUAUGGGUUGCAAGGUCAAGUAUACCGGCAAUUAAGGGUUGCUCGCCCGCUGCCGGGGGGUAGACUGCUACUUACAUAAGCGCGCCGUGGCAACACGCCGCUCAGAUAAAUGACGAACCGGGCGCGACGGUUCGCUCCGCGAUAACCGCCGCCCCGACAUAACCCGGCUUACAACCCGGCUCCCCUU